ncrna:unclassified sequences DTF3800-XI RNA
UGGGCUGGUCGGAAGACCCAGGUCCAACCUAAUCGGCGGGGAGGCUCCCC